AUUUCGUGUAUGGUGUACAUGUCUGUCUGCAUGUUUCAUAUAUGACCAUGAUGACGUCAAUUGUAUUUGAUAUAUUGAAUGAUAGUAAGAAUGUCUAUGUCUGGCUGUCGGUCAGGGUUCACAUACUUUUGACCUUAUGUUUCGAAUUAAUUGGCCAAGCAUAACUUUUACAUUUGUCAGUUUCUAAGGCACUGUAAGGAUCGGAACACAUUUAUUUGGUCUACGGGAUAUUUGUAGAGAUCUGUAUGUCAUGGUUCAUCUGACCUUGCACUCUUUUUAUGAACCAUUGACAAUCCUAAUUUAAAAAAAGAAGAUGUGGUAUGAUUGUCAAAGACCAAAGAGACAACUAUCCACAAGAGACCAAAAUGACACAGACAUUAACAACUAUAGGUCACCGUACGGCCUUCAACAAUGAGCAAAGCCCAUACCGCAUAGUCAGCUAUAAAAGGCCCCGAUAUGACAAUGUCAAACAAUUCAAACGAGAAAACUAACGGCCUUAUUUGUAUAAAAAAAAUGAACGAAAAACAAAUAUGUAACACAUAAACAAACGACAACCACUGAAUUACAGGCUCCUGACUUUGGACAGGCACAUACAUAA
rnacentral:lncRNA from 1 species